GCGUCAGCAAAAUCUGGCGUCGGGAUUGGAACCCCGGAUAUUCAACCGCGACAGACACACGCCGCGAGCGUGUUUUUU
rfam:Escherichia coli 53638 gcontig_1105238512145, whole genome shotgun sequence.